GUUAUUCUGAGUGUGUGUGCCUGCUGCCGUUGUUCUUGCUGCUGGAGAAACUGUUCAGUAAGGUAGGGGAGGUUUUCUCCAAACACAUGUUCAUCCUUGGGUUCAGCAACACAACAUUCAGUCAGCCUCU